rnacentral:rRNA from 1 species
UAGGGAAUCUUCUACAAUGGGCGAAAGCCUGAUGGAGCAACGCCGCGUGUGUGAUGAAGGGUUUCGGCUCGUAAAACACUGUUGUAAGAGAAGAAUGACAUUGAGAGUAACUGUUCAAUGUGUGACGGUAUCUUACCAGAAAGGAACGGCUAAAUACGUGCCAG